GUGCUCACUUUGGCAGUACAUAGACUAAAAUUAGAAUGAUACAGAGAAGAUUAGCACAGGCCCCUGCUCAAGGAUGGCAUGUAAAUUUGUGAAGCGUUCCAUAUUUAG